GGACGAACGCUGGCGGCGUGCCUAAUACAUGCAAGUCGUACGCUUCUUUUUCCACCGGAGCUUGCUCCACCGGAAAAAGAAGAGUGGCGAACGGGUGAGUAACACGUGGGUAACCUGCCCAUCAGAAGGGGAUAACACUUGGAAACAGGUGCUAAUACCGUAUAACAAUCGAAACCGCAUGGUUUUGAUUUGAAAGGCGCUUUCGGGUGUCGCUGAUGGAUGGACCCGCGGUGCAUUAGCUAGUUGGUGAGGUAACGGCUCACCAAGGCCACGAUGCAUAGCCGACCUGAGAGGGUGAUCGGCCACAUUGGGACUGAGACACGGCCCAAACUCCUACGGGAGGCAGCAGUAGGGAAUCUUCGGCAAUGGACGAAAGUCUGACCGAGCAACGCCGCGUGAGUGAAGAAGGUUUUCGGAUCGU
rnacentral:rRNA from 1 species